rnacentral:rRNA from 1 species
AGUGAACGCUGGCGGUAGGCCUAACACAUGCAAGUCGAACGGCAGCACAGUAAGAGCUUGCUCUUACGGGUGGCGAGUGGCGGACGGGUGAGGAAUACAUCGGAAUCUACUUUUUCGUGGGGGAUAACGUAGGGAAACUUACGCUAAUACCGCAUACGACCUACGGGUGAAAGCAGGGGAUCUUCGGACCUUGCGCGAUUGAAUGAGCCGAUGUCGGAUUAGCUAGUUGGCGGGGUAAAGGCCCACCAAGGCGACGAUCCGUAGCUGGUCUGAGAGGAUGAUCAGGCAAAAUGGAAAUGAGAAAAGGUCCAGAAUCCUAAGGGAGGCAGCAGUGGGGAAUAUUGGACAAUGGGCGCAAGCCUGAUCCAGCCAUACCGCGUGGGUGAAGAAGGCCUUCGGGUUGUAAAGCCCUUUUGUUGGGAAAGAAAAGCAGCAGGUUAAUACCCCGCUGUUCUGACGGUACCCAAAGAAUAAGCACCGGCUAACUUCGUG